rnacentral:rRNA from 1 species
UGCAGGGUGGAUUAGUGGCGAACGGGUGAGUAACACGUGAGUAACCUGCCCCUGACUCUGGGAUAAGCCCGGGAAACUGGGUCUAAUACCGGAUAUGACUUCCUACUGCAUGGUGGGUUGUUGAAAGAUUUAUCGGUGGGGGAUGGACUCGCGGCCUAUCAGCUUGUUGGUGAGGUAAUGGCUCACCAAGGCGACGACGGGUAGCCGGCCUGAGAGGGUGACCGGCCACACUGGGACUGAGACACGGCCCAGACUCCUACGGGAGGCAGCAGUGGGGAAUAUUGCACAAUGGGCGGAAGCCUGAUGCAGCGACGCCGCGUGAGGGAUGACGGCCUUCGGGUUGUAAACCUCUUUCAGUAGGGAAGAAGCGAAAGUGACGGUACCUGCAGAAGAAGCGCCGGCUAACUACGUGCCAGCAGCCGCGGUAAUACGUAGGGCGCAAGCGUUAUCCGGAUUUAUUGGGCGUAAAGAGCUCGUAGGCGGUUUGUCGCGUCUGCCGUGAAAGUCCGAGGCUCAACCUCGGAUCUGCGGUGGGUACGGGCAGACUAGAGUGAUGUAGGGGAGACUGGAAUUCCUGGUGUAGCGGUGAAAUGCGCAGAUAUCAGGAGGAACACCGAUGGCGAAGGCAGGUCUCUGGGCAUUUACUGACGCUGAGGAGCGAAAGCAUGGGGAGCGAACAGGAUUAGAUACCCUGGUAGUCCAUGCCGUAAACGUUGGGCACUAGGUGUGGGGGACAUUCCACGUUUUCCGCGCCGUAGCUAACGCAUUAAGUGCCCCGCCUGGGGAGUACGGCCGCAAGGCUAAAACUCAAAGGAAUUGACGGGGGCCCGCACAAGCGGCGGAGCAUGCGGAUUAAUUCGAUGCAACGCGAAGAACCUUACCAAGGCUUGACAUGUGCCAGACCGCUCCAGAGAUGGGGUUUCCCUUCGGGGCUGGUUCACAGGUGG